rnacentral:tRNA from 1 species
UGGCUCAGUGGUAGAGCGCUUGCCUUGUAUGCAUGAGGCCCUGGGUUGGACUCCCAG